GCCUCGCUAGCUCAACGGUAGAGCGUCAGACUCUUACAGUCCCUCUGACCGGGUAAGAGUCUGAAGGCCGCAGGUUCGAUUCCUGCGCGAGGCA